rnacentral:rRNA from 1 species
UACGUAGGGUGCGAGCGUUGUCCGGAAUUAUUGGGCGUAAAGAGCUCGUAGGCGGUGUGUCACGUCGGCCGUGAAAACCUGGGGGCUUAACUCUGGGCGUGCGGUCGAUACGGGCAUCACUAGAGUUCGGCAGGGGAGACUGGAAUUCCUGGUGUAGCGGUGAAAUGCGCAGAUAUCAGGAGGAACACCGGUGGCGAAGGCGGCCACUGGGCCGAUUGACUGACGCUGAGGCACGAAAGCGUGGGG